rnacentral:rRNA from 1 species
GAUGAACGCUGGCGGCGUGCCUAAUACAUGCAAGUCGAGCGAACAGAUGAGGAGCUUGCUCCUCUGACGUUAGCGGCGGACGGGUGAGUAACACGUGGAUAACCUACUUAUAAGACUGGGAUAACUUCGGGAAACCGGAGCUAAUACCGGAUAAUAUAUUGAACCGCAUGGUUCAAUAGUGAAAGACGGUUUUGCUGUCACUUAUAGAUGGAUCCGCGCCGCAUUAGCUAGUUGGUAAGGUAACGGCUUACCAAGGCAACGAUGCGUAGCCGACCUGAGAGGGUGAUCGGCCACACUGGAACUGAGACACGGUCCAGACGCCUACGGGAGGCAGCAGUAGGGAAUCUUCCGCAAUGGGCGAAAGCCUGACGGAGCAACGCCGCGUGAGUGAUGAAGGUCUUCGGAUCGUAAAACUCUGUUAUUAGGGAAGAACAAAUGUGUAAGUAACUAUGCACGUCUUGACGGUACCUAAUCAGAAAGCCACGGCUAACUACGUG